UUAAUGAGAGUUUGAUCCUGGCUCAGGACGAACGCUGGCGGCGUGCCUAAUACAUGCAAGUAGAACGCUGAGGAUUGGUGCUUGCACUAAUCCAAAGAGUUGCGAACGGGUGAGUAACGCGUAGGUAACCUACCUCAUAGCGGGGGAUAACUAUUGGAAACGAUAGCUAAUACCGCAUGACACUAGAGUACACAUGUACUUAAGUUAAAAGGAGCAAUUGCUUCACUAUGAGAUGGACCUGCGUUGUAUUAGCUAGUUGGUGAGGUAACGGCUCACCAAGGCGACGAUACAUAGCCGACCUGAGAGGGUGAUCGGCCACACUGGGACUGAGACACGGCCCAGACUCCUACGGGAGGCAGCAGUAGGGAAUCUUCGGCAAUGGACGGAAGUCUGACCGAGCAACGCCGCGUGAGUGAAGAAGGUUUUCGGAUCGUAAAGCUCUGUUGUUAGAGAAGAACGGUAAUGGGAGUGGAAAAUCCAUUACGUGACGGUAACUAACCAGAAAGGGACGGCUAACUACGUGCCAGCAGCCGCGGUAAUACGUAGGUCUCGAGCGUUGUCCGGAUUUAUUGGGCGUAAAGCGAGCGCAGGCGGUUCUAUAAGUCUGAAGUAAAAGGCAGUGGCUCAACCAUUGUAUGCUUUGGAAACUGUAGAACUUGAGUGCAGAAGGGGAGAGUGGAAUUCCAUGUGUAGCGGUGAAAUGCGUAGAUAUAUGGAGGAACACCGGUGGCGAAAGCGGCUCUCUGGUCUGUAACUGACGCUGAGGCUCGAAAGCGUGGGGAGCAAACAGGAUUAGAUACCCUGGUAGUCCACGCCGUAAACGAUGAGUGCUAGGUGUUAGGCCCUUUCCGGGGCUUAGUGCCGCAGCUAACGCAUUAAGCACUCCG
rnacentral:rRNA from 1 species